rnacentral:rRNA from 1 species
GCUCAGGACGAACGCUGGCGGUGCGCUUAAUGCAUGCAAGUCGAACGGCUCCAAUCUGCUUCGGCGGAUUGUGGUAGUGGCGGACGGCUGAGUAACACGUAAGUAACCUACCCUUGAGCGGGGGAUAACCCGGAGAAAUUCGGCCUAAUACCCCGUACGCUUCCGAAACUGUGGUUGAAGAAGGAAAGGUUCUCGCUUCGGCGGGCGCCGCUCUUGGAGGGGCUUGCGGCCUAUCAGGUAGUUGGUGGGGUAAUGGCCUACCAAGCCUAAGACGGGUAUCCGGUGUGAGAGCACGAACGGACAGAGGGGGACUGAGACACGGCCCCCACUCCUACGGGAGGCAGCAGCAGGGAAUCUUGCGCAAUGGGCUAAAAGGCCUGACGCAGCGACACCGCGUGGGGGAAGAAGGCUUUCGGGUCGUAAACCCCUUUUCUCGGGGAAGAGUGAGGACGGUACCCGAGGAAUAAGCCUCGGCUAACUACGUGCCAGCAGCCGCGGUAAUACGUAGGAGGCGAGCGUUGUCCGGAUUUACUGGGCGUAAAGGGCGAGUAGGCGGCCUGAUAAGUCUCAUGUGAAAUCUCCCGGCUUAACUGGGAGGGGUCAUGGGAAACUGUCAGGCUUGAGGGCAGUAGAGGAGAGUGGAAUUCCCGGAGUAGCGGUGAUAUGCGUAGAUACCGGGAGGAACACCCGAGGCGAAGGCGACUCUCUGGGCUGCACCUGACGCUGAGGCGCGAAAGCAUGGGGAGCGAACCGGAUUAGAUACCCGGGUAGUCCAUGCCCUAAACGAUGGAUACUAGGUAUGGGGGGUAUCGACCCCCUCCGUGCCGUAGCUAACGUGAUAAGUWUCCCGCCUGGGGGAGUACNGCCGCAAGGCUAAAACUCAA